rnacentral:rRNA from 1 species
UACGUAGGGUGCGAGCGUUAAUCGGAAUUACUGGGCGUAAAGCGUGCGCAGGCGGUGAUGUAAGACGGUUGUGAAAUCCCCGGGCUCAACCUUGGAAUUGCAUCUGUGACUGCAUCGCUAGAGUACGGUAGAGGGGGAUGGAAUUCCGCGUGUAGCAGUGAAAUGCGUAGAUAUGCGGAGGAACACCGAUGGCGAAGGCAAUCCCCUGGACCUGUACUGACGCUCAUGCACGAAAGCGUGGGGAGCAAACAGG